rnacentral:lncRNA from 1 species
GAGUGAGGAAAAAUAAUUUCAUUCACUGACUUCCUUGGACUAGCCAUACUCUCACACAAUUUCUCAAUAUGAGUAGCUAAUGAAUUUCUUGAUGAUUUUCUACUUGAACUUGAUUUUUUUCCUUUACCGUGUACAACCCCAAGUGUUUCCGUUCUUCGAUUAGGAGUUUCAUGAGAAGGGUUUGAUGGUACCUCAUUAGGA